rnacentral:lncRNA from 1 species
CUAAAUGCCUCAAGAUCAAUAAAGAGUACUACUAUUAUUAUUAUUAUGUCUUGUGUGUCUCUACUUUAUUUUUGUGCAAGAAAGCAGAAAACAAGUAUGGGGGAGAUCCCUCAACAUACCAAACACACUCCGACUACACCACUCCACGAUUCAGGUACACACUCUGCACACUUUACUUCAUACAUACAUUUAUUUUGGAUUAUGCAGAUUACUGUUUCCGACAUGAUAAAAUAAAAAGAUUAAAAUAUUUCUAAUCAUGAUUAAUCUCAAUCUGUGAUAUUUCCUGAAAACUUACAAUUAUUAUAAAAUCAUUUUAAAACCCUGU